CUGCAUUUCGGAUUCCCUCAAAGCCAGCAGGACCACUGCAUGAAGGAGGUGACGGAACACAGAUGGCGUCAGACAUGUGCCAAACGUCCCCUGCGGAAGGUGAUUAUAACAACAAAUGCACGUGGAGAAAACCUCUAUUUUGUCUUGCAGCUCAGAAUAGGAUUUUUCAUUUUCUUGAGGAAUUGGACCCUUUGCUGUGAUGAAAGGUCCCUGUUUAUCCCUGAUAAUAUUUUAUCCCUGAUAAUAUUCCUUCUUGUGGAAUCUACCUUGUCUGCUUUUAAAGAGCUGUUCUAGUAGCCUCCAAGUUGGUUUCCAAGGAUCCCCACCACCAGUAUAGACACUCUUUAUGGUCCUCUCUCCCACUGUACCACAGUGGGUCUGUGUGGCUAAUAAAAUAUGGGAGAAGUAAAGUUAUUUCCCUUCUGGGGUUACAUGACAAAAGUCUGUGACUUCUGUCCGAGCCGUCUCUCUUACUUUCUCUCAGAACACCUCCUCUGAGGGAAGUCAGGACAGGAGCAGCCCUGUGGAGAAUCCAAGCAGCGAGGUGCGGAAGCCUUCUUCCAGUCACCAGUGUUUUUGAAGGUCCUGAGAAUGCCCCCAAGUUUGAUGAUUGGCCAGAAGGACUCACAAGACUGAAGAGAAGGUUAUAGAUAACUAAGUAAAGCAGCAGGGAAGAGAUUUUCACUGGGCAGAGUUCAGACACAGUCAGAAUGGGCUUUGGAACCUUUCAUCAGAGGCCACACAUGACGUGCUUUCUCUCCAUCAGCAACUGAUAAGAACAUGCAUGGUAUGUGUCUACACAGGGAAUCCUGCUGGAGCCUCGGGGUCCAAAGUUUUUCUGGUGUGCUGGUCACAUGAGCAUAUCUUGCUGUGCAACCAGCUGUGGCAACUGAAACUCAAGACCUCCACAGUGAAACUAGGUGCACAACUUAAUUUUGAUAUUUGUGCAGAGAAACUUGACAAGCUAGUCCAGUCCUGCCCAUUUUUCCACGUAUACGCAAAUAAAAUCGUCAUCUGACACCUAAGGGCCUGUAUCCCCAGUGGUUGGCCAAGGGUCAUUCAUGGUUCCAGAUUCUUCUGGAGAUAUGCAAGGAAUAAACAACUAGAGCAGUUUUGUUAACCCUUUCCUUUCCACUAAGGUGGCCCACAUCAGUUAGCAUCAACUUCUAAAUAUUUUGACGAAUGAGUCUUCAGAAAAUUCUAGCCUCUAGACUCCAAAUCUUCCAGCUUAGGCCCCCAAAAUUGUGAAGCAGAAACAAGCAUUCCCCUCUGUGCUCUUGCAGAAUUCCUGAUUCACAAAAAAUUAUAACAAGUAAUAAAUGACUAUUGUUUGAAACCA